CACGUAGGGGACGAGCGUUGUCCGGAUUCAUUGGGCGUAAGGCGCGCGUAGGCGGCUCGGAAAGUCGGGCGUGAAAUGCCGGGGCUCAAACCCCGGGAGGCGGGUGGAUACUGCUGAGCUCGAGUCCGGAAGAGGAGUGUGGAAUUCCUGGUGUAGCGGUGAAAUGCGUAGAUAUCUGGAGGAAUACCGGUGGCGAAAGGCGGCGAU
rnacentral:rRNA from 1 species